ACAUGCAGUCGAGCGGUAGAGAGAAGCUUGCUUCUCUUGAGAGCGGCGGACGGGUGAGUAAUGCCUAGGAAUCUGCCUGGUAGUGGGGGAUAACGUUCGGAAACGGACGCUAAUACCGCAUACGUCCUACGGGAGAAAGCAGGGGACCUUCGGGCCUUGCGCUAUCAGAUGAGCCUAGGUCGGAUUAGCUAGUUGGUGAGGUAAUGGCUCACCAAGGCGACGAUCCGUAACUGGUCUGAGAGGAUGAUCAGUCACACUGGAACUGAGACACGGUCCAGACUCCUACGGGAGGCAGCAGUGGGGAAUAUUGGACAAUGGGCGAAAGCCUGAUCCAGCCAUGCCGCGUGUGUGAAGAAGGUCUUCGGAUUGUAAAGCACUUUAAGUUGGGAGGAAGGGUUGUAGAUUAAUACUCUGCAAUUUUGACGUUCCCGACAGAAUAAGCACCGGCUAACUCUGUGCCAGCAGCCGCGGUAAUACAGAGGGUGCAAGCGUUAAUCGAAAUUACUGGGCGUAAAGCGCGCGUAGGUGGUUUGUUAAGUUGGAUGUGAAAUCCCCGGGCU
rnacentral:rRNA from 1 species